rnacentral:rRNA from 1 species
CCCAGACUCCUACGGGAGGCAGCAGUGGGGAAUAUUGCACAAUGGGGGAAACCCUGAUGCAGCGACGCCGCGUGAGUGAAGAAGUAAUUCGUUAUGUAAAGCUCUAUCAGCAGGGAAGAAAAUGACGGUACCUGAGUAAGAAGCCCCGGCUAACUACGUGCCAGCAGCCGCGGUAAUACGUAUGGAGCAAGCGUUAUCCGGAUUUACUGGGUGUAAAGGGAGCGCAGGCGGCCUUGCAAGUCUGAUGUGAAAGGCCGGGGCCCAACCCCGGGACUGCAUUGGAAACUGCGAGGCUGGAGUGUCGGAGAGGCAGGCGGAAUUCCUAGUGUAGCGGUGAAAUGCGUAGAUAUUAGGAGGAACACCAGUGGCGAAGGCGGCUUACUGGACUGUAACUGACGUUGAGGCUCGAAAGCGUGGGGAGCAAACAGGAUUAGAUACCCGUGUA